CGUGUCACAAACUUUUGUCCCUUUUUGUCCCUUUUGUCCCCAUCUUGGCAGGACUUUGGAUGGGCAGAGCCCCCCCCGGCCAUGGGGCAGAGCGAGUCGGAGCCGCAGGACGAGGCCGAGGACGGGCCCCUGAGGGCGGUGCUGCCGCGGUUCUUGACCGACCGGCUCCCGACCAGCGUGGUAGUGGGGGCCCUCCUGGGCCUCGGCCUGGCCGUGGUGGCGGUGGUGACGGCCGUGGUGGCCCUGCUGCACCGGCUGCGCCUUAAGGGUG